rnacentral:rRNA from 1 species
UACGGAGGGUGCAAGCGUUAUCCGGAUUCACUGGGUUUAAAGGGUGCGUAGGAGGGCAGGGAAGUCCGUGGUGAAGUCUCCGAGCUUAACUCGGAAACUGCCGUGGAUACUCUCUGUCUUGAAUCCCGUGGAGAUGAGCGGAAUAUGUCAUGUAGCGGUGAAAUGCUUAGAUAUGACAUAGAACACCAAUUGCGAAGGCAGCUCGUUACACGAAGAUUGACUCUGAGGCACGAAAGCGUGGGGAUCAAACAGG